rnacentral:rRNA from 1 species
CCUACGGGUGGCAGCAGUGAGGAAUAUUGGUCAAUGGGCUUACGCCUGAACCAGCCAAGUCGCGUGAGGGAAGACUGCCCUAUGGGUUGUAAACCUCUUUUGUCAGGGAGUAAACGGAGCUACGUGUAGCGUUAUCGAGAGAACCUGAAGAAAAAGCAUCGGCUAACUCCGUGCCAGCAGCCGCGGUAAUACGGAGGUUCCGAGCGUUAUCCGGAUUAAUUGGGUUGAAGGGGAGCGUAGGUGGUUGGUUAAGUCAGUUGUGAAAGUUUGCGGCUCAACCGUAAAAUUGCAGUUGAAACUGGCAGUCUUGAGUACAGUAGAGGUGGGCGGAAUUCGUGGUGUAGCGGUGAAAUGCUUAGAGAUCACGAAGAACUCCGAUUGCGAAGGCAGCUCACUGGACUGCAACUGACACUGAGGCUCGAAAGUGUGGGUAUCAAACAGGAUUAGAUACCCUUGUAGUC